rnacentral:rRNA from 1 species
UAGGGAAUCUUCCGCAAUGGACGAAAGUCUGACGGAGCAACGCCGCGUGAGUGAUGAAGGUUUUCGGAUCGUAAAACUCUGUUGUUAGGGAAGAACAAGUACCGGAGUAACUGCCGGCACCUUGACGGUACCUAACCAGAAAGCCACGGCUAACUACGUGCCAGCAGCCGCGGUAAUACGUAGGUGGCAAGCGUUGUCCGGAAUUAUUGGGCGUAAAGCGCGCGCAGGUGGUUCCUUAAGUCUGAUGUGAAAGCCCACGGCUCAACCGUGGAGGGUCAUUGGAAACUGGGGAACUUGAGUGCAGAAGAGGAAAGUGGAAUUCCAAGUGUAGCGGUGAAAUGCGUAGAGAUUUGGAGGAACACCAGUGGCGAAGGCGACUUUCUGGUCUGUAACUGACACUGAGGCGCGAAAGCGUGGGGAGCGAACAGG